rnacentral:rRNA from 1 species
UACAGAGGGCGCAAGCGUUGUUCGGAUUCAUUGGGCGUAAAGGGUUCGUAGGCGGCGCGGUAAGUCGGGUGUGAAAUCUUGGAGCUUAACUCCGAAACUGCAUUCGAUACUGCCGUGCUUGAGGACUGGAGAGGAGACUGGAAUUUACGGUGUAGCGGUGAAAUGCGUAGAUAUCGUAAGGAAGACCAGUGGCGAAGGCGGGUCUCUGGACAGUUCCUGACGCUGAGGCACGAAGGUCAGGGGAGCAAACGGG